rnacentral:rRNA from 1 species
UGAACGCUGGCGGCGUGCCUAAUACAUGCAAGUCGAGCGAACAGACGAGGAGCUUGCUCCUCUGACGUUAGCGGCGGACGGGUGAGUAACACGUGGAUAACCUACCUAUAAGACUGGGAUAACUUCGGGAAACCGGAGCUAAUACCGGAUAACAUGUUGAACCGCAUGGUUCAACAGUGAAAGACGGUCUUGCUGUCACUUAUAGAUGGAUCCGCGCCGCAUUAGCUAGUUGGUAAGGUAACGGCUUACCAAGGCAACGAUGCGUAGCCGACCUGAGAGGGUGAUCGGCCACACUGGAACUGAGACACGGUCCAGACUCCUACGGGAGGCAGCAGUAGGGAAUCUUCCGCAAUGGGCGAAAGCCUGACGGAGCAACGCUGCGUGAGUGAAGAAGGUCCUCGGAUCGUAAAACUCUGUUAUUAGGGAAGAACAAAUGUGUAAGUAACUAUGCACGUCUUGACGGUACCUAAUCAGAAAGCCACGGCUAACUACGUG